GCCUUCGUGGUGCAGUGGUGAACACGCUCGAUGCUUAGCCGAGAUGUCAGUGGUUCGAUUCCCGGCGAAGGCG
rnacentral:tRNA from 1 species